rnacentral:rRNA from 1 species
AUUGAACGCUGGCGGCAGGCUUAACACAUGCAAGUCGAGCGGAGAUGAGGUGCUUGCACCUUAUCUUAGCGGCGGACGGGUGAGUAAUGCUUAGGAAUCUGCCUAUUAGUGGGGGACAACAUUCCGAAAGGAAUGCUAAUACCGCAUACGUCCUACGGGAGAAAGCAGGGGAUCUUCGGACCUUGCGCUAAUAGAUGAGCCUAAGUCGGAUUAGCUAGUUGGUGGGGUAAAGGCCUACCAAGGCGACGAUCUGUAGCGGGUCUGAGAGGAUGAUCCGCCACACUAGGACUGAGACACGGCCCAGACUCCUACGGGAGGUAGCAGUGGGGAAUAUUGGACAAUGGGGGAAACCCUGAUCCAGCCAUGCCGCGUGUGUGAAGAAGGCCUUAUGGUUGUAAAGCACUUUAAGCGAGGAGGAGGCUACUGAGACUAAUACUCUUGGAUAGUGGACGUUACUCGCAGAAUAAGCACCGGCUAACUCUGUGCCAGCCGCCGCCGUAA